rnacentral:rRNA from 1 species
CCUGCGGAAGGAUCAUAA